rnacentral:rRNA from 1 species
GACGGAGGGUGCAACCGUUGUUCGGAAUCACUGGGCCUAAAGCGCACGUAGGCGGUCCGCUAAGUCAGAUGUGAAAUCCCCCGGCUCAACCGGGGAACUGCACCUGAUACUGGCGGGCUCGAGGACGGUAGGGGUGAGUGGAACUCCAGGUGGAGCGGUGAAAUGCGUAGAUAUCUGGAGGAACACCGGUGGCGAAAGCGGCUCACUGGACCGUCUCUGACGCUGAGGUGCGAAAGCUAGGGUAGCAAACGGG